rnacentral:rRNA from 1 species
AUUGAACGCUGGCGGCAGGCCUAACACAUGCAAGUCGAGCGGAUGAAGGGAGCUUGCUCCUGGAUUCAGCGGCGGACGGGUGAGUAAUGCCUAGGAAUCUGCCUGGUAGUGGGGGAUAACGUCCGGAAACGGGCGCUAAUACCGCAUACGUCCUGAGGGAGAAAGUGGGGGAUCUUCGGACCUCACGCUAUCAGAUGAGCCUAGGUCGGAUUAGCUAGUUGGUGGGGUAAAGGCCUACCAAGGCGACGAUCCGUAACUGGUCUGAGAGGAUGAUCAGUCACAAUGGAACUGAGACACGGUCCAGACUCCCACGGGAGGCAGCAGUGGGGAAUAUUGGACAAUGGGCGAAAGCCUGAUCCAGCCAUGCCGCGUGUGUGAAGAAGGUCUUCGGAUUGUAAAGCACUUUAAGUUGGGAGGAAGGGCAGUAAGUUAAUACCUUGCUGUUUUGACGUUACCAACAGAAUAAGCACCGGCUAACUUCGUG